rnacentral:rRNA from 1 species
ACGGAAGGCAGCAGUGGGGGAUAUUGCACAAUGGGGGAAACCCUGAUGCAGCGACGCCGCGUGAAGGAAGAAGUAUCUCGGUAUGUAAACUUCUAUCAGCAGGGAAGAUAAUGACGGUACCUGACUAAGAAGCCCCGGCUAACUACGUGCCAGCAGCCGCGGUAAUACGUAGGGGGCAAGCGUUAUCCGGAUUUACUGGGUGUAAAGGGAGCGUAGACGGAACGGCAAGUCUGAUGUGAAAGGCUGGGGCUCAACCCCGGGACUGCAUUGGAAACUGUCGGUCUUGAGUGCCGGAGGGGUAAGCGGAAUUCCUAGUGUAGCGGUGAAAUGCGUAGAUAUUAGGAGGAACACCAGUGGCGAAGGCGGCUUACUGGACGGUAACUGACGUUGAGGCUCGAAAGCGUGGGGAGCAAACAGGAUUAGAUACCCUGGUA